rnacentral:rRNA from 1 species
AUAUGGUAGGAGAGCGUUCUGUAAGCCUGCGAAGGUGUCUUGUAAAGGAUGCUGGAGGUAUCAGAAGUGCGAAUGCUGACAUGAGUAGCGAUAAUGGGAGUGAAAAGCUCCCACGCCGUAAGCCCAAGGUUUCCUGUUCAACGUUCAUCGGAGCAGGGUGAGUCGGCCCCUAAGGCGAGGCAGAGAUGCGUAGCUGAUGGGAAGCAGGUUAAUAUUCCUGCACCGUCGUAUGAUGCGAUGGGGGGACGGAUCGCGGAAGGUUGUCCAACGGUUGGAAGUGUUGGUUUUUGACUCAUAGAAGGCGCUUAGGCAAAUCCGGGCGCGGAAUUCAAGGGGUCGAGACGAGAGACUUAGGUCUUGAAGCAAUCGGAAGUGGUUCCAAGAAAAGCCUCUAAGCUUCAGUCAUACGAGACCGUACCGCAAACCGACACAGGUGGGCGAGAUGAGUAUUCUAAGGCGCUUGAGAGAACUCGGGAGAAGGAACUCGGCAAAUUGGUACCGUAACUUCGGGAAAAGGUACGCCCCGGUAGCUUGACUGGUUUACUCCAGAAGGGUGAAAGGGUUGCAAUAAACUGGUGGCUGCGACUGUUUAAUAAAAACACAGCACUCUGCAAACACGAAAGUGGACGUAUAGGGUGUGACGCCUGCCCGGUGCUGGAAGAUUAAAUGAUGGGGUGCAAGCUCUUGAUUGAAGUCCCAGUAAACGGCGGCCGUAACUAUAACGGUCCUAAGGUAGCGAAAUUCCUUGUCGGGUAAGUUCCGACCUGCACGAAUGGCGUAACGAUGGCCACACUGUCUCCUCCCGAGACUCAGCGAAGUUGAAAUGUUUGUGAUGAUGCAAUCUACCCGCGGCUAGACGGAAAGACCCCAUGAACCUUUACUGUAGCUUUGCAUUGGACUUUGAACCAAUCUGUGUAGGAUAGGUGGGAGGCUUUGAAGCGGGGACGCCAGUCUUCGUGGAGCCAUCCUUGAAAUACCACCCUGGUUUGUUUGAGGUUCUAACCUUGGUCCGUUAUCCGGAUCGGGGACAGUGCAUGGUAGGCAGUUUGACUGGGGCGGUCUCCUCCUAAAGUGUAACGGAGGAGUUCGAAGGUACGCUAGAUACGGUCGGACAUCGUGUUGAUAGUGCAAUGGCAUAAGCGUGCUUAACUGCGAGACUGACAAGUCGAGCAGGUACGAAAGUAGGACAUAGUGAUCCGGUGGUUCUGUAUGGAAGGGCCAUCGCUCAACGGAUAAAAGGUACUCUGGGGAUAACAGGCUGAUUCCUCCCAAGAGUUCAUAUCGACGGGGGAGUUUGGCACCUCGAUGUCGGCUCAUCACAUCCUGGGGCUGUAGCCGGUCCCAAGGGUAUGGCUGUUCGCCAUUUAAAGUGGUACGUGAGCUGGGUUUAAAACGUCGUGAGACAGUUUGGUCCCUAUCUGCCGUGGGCGUUGGAAAUUUGAAGGGGGCUGCUCCUAGUACGAGAGGACCGGAGUGGACAGACCUCUGGUGUACCGGUUGUCACGCCAGUGGCAUUGCCGGGUAGCUAAGUCUGGAAGAGAUAACCGCUGAAAGCAUCUAAGCGGGAAACUUGCCUUGAGAUGAGAUUUCCCAGAGCCUUGAGCUCUUUAAAGGGUCGUUCGAGACCAGGACGUUGAUAGGUCAGGUGUGGAAGUGCAGUAAUGCAUUAAGCUAACUGAUACUAAUUGCCCGUACGGCUUGUCCCU